UGUCGUCCUCCUUAGUCACGGUUAGUCGACGACUAAGGGGCUUUAUUUUUAAGUCAAAAAAGAUUUUUCUCAAAAUAACCAUGUAAAAUGGUUAAUGUGAUUUUUACCACCAUCCACGUGGUGCACAUCUUUCAAAAAAAAUCACUUCACUUCAUUUCACGACCACCCCCUCAGGUGGCAAAAUUUAAUAAAACGUUAUUUUUGACUAUUUUGGGUGUUCAGUGUUAACGCCCUGACCGUACCAGAUUGAGUGUAAAUGGGAUUUGGCAAAAGUCGGUACCCACGACCACCCCCUCAGGUGGCAAAAUUUAAUAAAACGUUAUUUUUGACUAUUUUGGGUGUUCAGUGUUAACGCCCUGACCGUACCAGAUUGAGUGUAAAUGGGAUUUGGCAAUAGUCGGUACCCACGACCACCCCCUCAGGUGGCAAAAUUUAAUAAAACGUUAUUUUUGACUAUUUUGGGUGUUCAGUGUUAACGCCCUGACCGUACCAGAUUGAGUGUAAAUGGGAUUUGGCAAUAGUCGGUACCCACGACCACCCCCUCAGGUAGCAAAAUUUAAUAAAACGUUAUUUUUGACUAUUUUGGGUGUUCAGUGUUAACGCCCUGACCGUACCAGAUUGAGUGUAAAUGGGAUUUGGCAAUAGUCGGUACCCACGACCACCCCCUCAGGUGGCAAAAUUUAAUAAAACGUUAUUUUUGACUAUUUUGGGUGUUCAGUGUUAACGCCCUGACCGUACCAGAUUGAGUGUAAAUGGGAUUUGGCAAUAGUCGGUACCCACGACCACCCCCUCAGGUGGCAAAAUUUAAUAAAACGUUAUUUUUGACCAUUUUGGUUGUACACUGUUGACGCCCUGACCGUACCAGAUUGAGUGUAAAUGGGAUUUGGCAAUAGUCGGUACCCACGACCACCCCCUCAGGUGGCAAAAUUUAAUAAAACGUUAUUUUUGACUAUUUUGGGUGUUCAGUGUUAACGCCCUGACCGUACCAGAUUGAGUGUAAAUGGGAUUUGGCAAUAGUCGGUACCCACGACCACCCCCUCAGGUGGCAAAAUUUAAUAAAACGUUAUUUUUGACUAUUUUGGGUGUUCAGUGUUAACGCCCUGACCGUACCAGAUUGAGUGUAAAUGGGAUUUGGCAAUAGUCGGUACCCACGACCACCCCCUCAGGUGGCAAAAUUUAAUAAAACGUUAUUUUUGACCAUUUUGGUUGUACACUGUUGACGCCCUGACCGUACCAGAUUGAGUGUAAAUGGGAUUUGGCAAAAGUCGGUACCCACGACCACCCCCUCAGGUAGCAAAAAAUAAUAAAACGUCAUUUGAGAGCAUUUUGGGCAAUUCAAAUUGACAAAAAAAUUUGAUCAGCCCUGUCGUCCUCCUUAGUCACGGUUAGUCGACGACUAAGGGGCUUUAUUUUUAAGUCAAAAAAGAUUUUUCUCAAAAUAACCAUGUAAAAUGGUUAAUGUGAUUUUUACCACCAUCCACGUGGUGCACAUCUUUCAAAAAAAAUCACUUCUCUUCACUUCACGACCACCCCCUCAGGUGGCAAAAUUUAAUAAAACGUUAUUUUUGACUAUUUUGGGUGUUCAGUGUUAACGCCCUGACCGUACCAGAUUGAGUGUAAAUGGGAUUUGGCAAUAGUCGGUACCCACGACCACCCCCUCAGGUGGCAAAAUUUAAUAAAACGUUAUUUUUGACUAUUUUGGGUGUUCAGUGUUAACGCCCUGACCGUACCAGAUUGAGUGUAAAUGGGAUUUGGCAAUAGUCGGUACCCACGACCACCCCCUCAGGUAGCAAAAUUUAAUAAAACGUUAUUUUUGACUAUUUUGGGUGUUCAGUGUUAACGCCCUGACCGUACCAGAUUGAGUGUAAAUGGGAUUUGGCAAUAGUCGGUACCCACGACCACCCCCUCAGGUGGCAAAAUUUAAUAAAACGUUAUUUUUGACUAUUUUGGGUGUUCAGUGUUAACGCCCUGACCGUACCAGAUUGAGUGUAAAUGGGAUUUGGCAAAAGUCGGUACCCACGACCACCCCCUCAGGUGGCAAAAUUUAAUAAAACGUUAUUUUUGACUAUUUUGGGUGUUCAGUGUUAACGCCCUGACCGUACCAGAUUGAGUGUAAAUGGGAUUUGGCAAUAGUCGGUACCCACGACCACCCCCUCAGGUGGCAAAAUUUAAUAAAACGUUAUUUUUGACUAUUUUGGGUGUUCAGUGUUAACGCCCUGACCGUACCAGAUUGAGUGUAAAUGGGAUUUGGCAAUAGUCGGUACCCACGACCACCCCCUCAGGUAGCAAAAUUUAAUAAAACGUUAUUUUUGACUAUUUUGGGUGUUCAGUGUUAACGCCCUGACCGUACCAGAUUGAGUGUAAAUGGGAUUUGGCAAUAGUCGGUACCCACGACCACCCCCUCAGGUGGCAAAAUUUAAUAAAACGUUAUUUUUGACUAUUUUGGGUGUUCAGUGUUAACGCCCUGACCGUACCAGAUUGAGUGUAAAUGGGAUUUGGCAAUAGUCGGUACCCACGACCACCCCCUCAGGUGGCAAAAUUUAAUAAAACGUUAUUUUUGACCAUUUUGGUUGUACACUGUUGACGCCCUGACCGUACCAGAUUGAGUGUAAAUGGGAUUUGGCAAAAGUCGGUACCCACGACCACCCCCUCAGGUAGCAAAAAAUAAUAAAACGUCAUUUGAGAGCAUUUUGGGCAAUUCAAAUUGACAAAAAAAUUUGAUCAGCCCUGUCGUCCUCCUUAGUCACGGUUAGUCGACGACUAAGGGGCUUUAUUUUUAAGUCAAAAAAGAUUUUUCUCAAAAUAACCAUGUAAAAUGGUUAAUGUGAUUUUUACCACCAUCCACGUGGUGCACAUCUUUCAAAAAAAAUCACUUCACUUCACUUCACGACCACCCCCUCAGGUAGCAAAAUUUAAUAAAACGUUAUUUUUGACUAUUUUGGGUGUUCAGUGUUAACGCCCUGACCGUACCAGAUUGAGUGUAAAUGGGAUUUGGCAAUAGUCGGUACCCACGACCACCCCCUCAGGUGGCAAAAUUUAAUAAAACGUUAUUUUUGACUAUUUUGGGUGUUCAGUGUUAACGCCCUGACCGUACCAGAUUGAGUGUAAAUGGGAUUUGGCAAAAGUCGGUACCCACGACCACCCCCUCAGGUGGCAAAAUUUAAUAAAACGUUAUUUUUGACUAUUUUGGGUGUUCAGUGUUAACGCCCUGACCGUACCAGAUUGAGUGUAAAUGGGAUUUGGCAAUAGUCGGUACCCACGACCACCCCCUCAGGUAGCAAAAUUUAAUAAAACGUUAUUUUUGACUAUUUUGGGUGUUCAGUGUUAACGCCCUGACCGUACCAGAUUGAGUGUAAAUGGGAUUUGGCAAAAGUCGGUACCCACGACCACCCCCUCAGGUGGCAAAAUUUAAUAAAACGUUAUUUUUGACUAUUUUGGGUGUUCAGUGUUAACGCCCUGACCGUACCAGAUUGAGUGUAAAUGGGAUUUGGCAAAAGUCGGUACCCACGACCACCCCCUCAGGUGGCAAAAUUUAAUAAAACGUUAUUUUUGACUAUUUUGGGUGUUCAGUGUUAACGCCCUGACCGUACCAGAUUGAGUGUAAAUGGGAUUUGGCAAUAGUCGGUACCCACGACCACCCCCUCAGGUGGCAAAAUUUAAUAAAACGUUAUUUUUGACUAUUUUGGGUGUUCAGUGUUAACGCCCUGACCGUACCAGAUUGAGUGUAAAUGGGAUUUGGCAAAAGUCGGUACCCACGACCACCCCCUCAGGUGGCAAAAUUUAAUAAAACGUUAUUUUUGACUAUUUUGGGUGUUCAGUGUUAACGCCCUGACCGUACCAGAUUGAGUGUAAAUGGGAUUUGGCAAUAGUCGGUACCCACGACCACCCCCUCAGGUGGCAAAAUUUAAUAAAACGUUAUUUUUGACUAUUUUGGGUGUUCAGUGUUAACGCCCUGACCGUACCAGAUUGAGUGUAAAUGGGAUUUGGCAAUAGUCGGUACCCACGACCACCCCCUCAGGUAGCAAAAUUUAAUAAAACGUUAUUUUUGACUAUUUUGGGUGUUCAGUGUUAACGCCCUGACCGUACCAGAUUGAGUGUAAAUGGGAUUUGGCAAUAGUCGGUACCCACGACCACCCCCUCAGGUGGCAAAAUUUAAUAAAACGUUAUUUUUGACUAUUUUGGGUGUUCAGUGUUAACGCCCUGACCGUACCAGAUUGAGUGUAAAUGGGAUUUGGCAAUAGUCGGUACCCACGACCACCCCCUCAGGUGGCAAAAUUUAAUAAAACGUUAUUUUUGACUAUUUUGGGUGUUCAGUGUUAACGCCCUGACCGUACCAGAUUGAGUGUAAAUGGGAUUUGGCAAUAGUCGGUACCCACGACCACCCCCUCAGGUAGCAAAAUUUAAUAAAACGUUAUUUUUGACUAUUUUGGGUGUUCAGUGUUAACGCCCUGACCGUACCAGAUUGAGUGUAAAUGGGAUUUGGCAAUAGUCGGUACCCACGACCACCCCCUCAGGUGGCAAAAUUUAAUAAAACGUUAUUUUUGACUAUUUUGGGUGUUCAGUGUUAACGCCCUGACCGUACCAGAUUGAGUGUAAAUGGGAUUUGGCAAUAGUCGGUACCCACGACCACCCCCUCAGGUGGCAAAAUUUAAUAAAACGUUAUUUUUGACUAUUUUGGGUGUUCAGUGUUAACGCCCUGACCGUACCAGAUUGAGUGUAAAUGGGAUUUGGCAAUAGUCGGUACCCACGACCACCCCCUCAGGUAGCAAAAUUUAAUAAAACGUUAUUUUUGACUAUUUUGGGUGUUCAGUGUUAACGCCCUGACCGUACCAGAUUGAGUGUAAAUGGGAUUUGGCAAUAGUCGGUACCCACGACCACCCCCUCAGGUGGCAAAAUUUAAUAAAACGUUAUUUUUGACUAUUUUGGGUGUUCAGUGUUAACGCCCUGACCGUACCAGAUUGAGUGUAAAUGGGAUUUGGCAAUAGUCGGUACCCACGACCACCCCCUCAGGUGGCAAAAUUUAAUAAAACGUUAUUUUUGACUAUUUUGGUUGUACACUGUUGACGCCCUGACCGUACCAGAUUGAGUGUAAAUGGGAUUUGGCAAAAGUCGGUACCCACGACCACCCCCUCAGGUGGCAAAAUUUAAUAAAACGUUAUUUUUGACUAUUUUGGGUGUUCAGUGUUAACGCCCUGACCGUACCAGAUUGAGUGUAAAUGGGAUUUGGCAAAAGUCGGUACCCACGACCACCCCCUCAGGUGGCAAAAUUUAAUAAAACGUUAUUUUUGACUAUUUUGGGUGUUCAGUGUUAACGCCCUGACCGUACCAGAUUGAGUGUAAAUGGGAUUUGGCAAAAGUCGGUACCCACGACCACCCCCUCAGGUGGCAAAAUUUAAUAAAACGUUAUUUUUGACUAUUUUGGGUGUUCAGUGUUAACGCCCUGACCGUACCAGAUUGAGUGUAAAUGGGAUUUGGCAAUAGUCGGUACCCACGACCACCCCCUCAGGUGGCAAAAUUUAAUAAAACGUUAUUUUUGACUAUUUUGGGUGUUCAGUGUUAACGCCCUGACCGUACCAGAUUGAGUGUAAAUGGGAUUUGGCAAUAGUCGGUACCCACGACCACCCCCUCAGGUAGCAAAAUUUAAUAAAACGUUAUUUUUGACUAUUUUGGGUGUUCAGUGUUAACGCCCUGACCGUACCAGAUUGAGUGUAAAUGGGAUUUGGCAAUAGUCGGUACCCACGACCACCCCCUCAGGUGGCAAAAUUUAAUAAAACGUUAUUUUUGACUAUUUUGGGUGUUCAGUGUUAACGCCCUGACCGUACCAGAUUGAGUGUAAAUGGGAUUUGGCAAAAGUCGGUACC